rnacentral:misc_RNA from 1 species
AAGUCGUAACAAGGUUUCCGUAGGUGAACCUGCGGAAGGAUCAUUCACACACUAAGCAGUAGCAUUAAUGAUAAAAAGUUGAUGUUUGCUGUAUGUCCCUAUCUAAACCAACACAACCCAUGACUGCCUGUUUCGUGCACAAUGGCUAUUGCGUGGUAAAACAUGCGAAGGUCGCCUUAAUUUACCUAUCUUCGUUGUAAGGGCUGCGGCAACGUAGUUUCGAGCAAUGAUGUCAUUUUGUGCUGAGCCCUAUUAAUGGGUGUAAAUGUAGUAAUACGUAUAAUUAUAAUACAACUCUUUGCAAUGGAUAUCUUGGUUCUC